CGCACAUUGCGCCCCUUGGUACUCCUUGGGGCAUGCCUGUUCGAGCGUCAUCUAACGCCUCAAGUCCAGCUUGACGUUGGGCGCUUGUCCCGCUCUCCCAGCGCGUGGACUCGCCUUAAAUCUAUUGGCAGCUUGCGGUAGGGGCUCCGAGCGCAGCACAGUCGCGCCUCAUGCCCCGGUCGCUGGCGUCCAGCAAGCCUCGACAUCCAAAAAUUUGACCUCGGAUCAGGUAGGGAUACCCGCUGAACUUAA
rnacentral:misc_RNA from 1 species